rnacentral:rRNA from 1 species
UACGGAGGGUGCGAGCGUUAAUCGGAAUCACUGGGCGUAAAGCGCACGUAGGCUGUUAUGUAAGUCAGGGGUGAAAUCCCACCGCUUACCGGUGGAAUUGCCUUUGAUACUGUGUAACUUGAGUUCGUAAGAGGGUGGCGGAAUUCCAGGUGUAGGAGUGAAAUCCGUAGAGAUCUGGAGGAACAUCAGUGGCGAAGGCGGCCACCUGGUGCGACACUGACGCUGAGGUGCGAAAGCGUGGGGAGCAAACAGG